CCUGCGGGUGGCUGCAGUGGGGAAUAUUGGACAAUGGGGGCAACCCUGAUCCAGCCAUGCCGCGUGUGUGAAGAAGGCCCUCGGGUUGUAAAGCACUUUCAGUGAGGAAGAACGCCUGGUGGUUAAUACCCAUCAGGAAAGACAUCACUCACAGAAGAAGCACCGGCUAACUCCGUGCCAGCAGCCGCGGUAAUACGGAGGGUGCGAGCGUUAAUCGGAAUUACUGGGCGUAAAGCGCGCGUAGGUGGCUUGAUAAGCCGGUUGUGAAAGCCCCGGGCUCAACCUGGGAACGGCAUCCGGAACUGUCAAGCUAGAGUGCAGGAGAGGAAGGUAGAAUUCCCGGUGUAGCGGUGAAAUGCGUAGAGAUCGGGAGGAAUACCAGUGGCGAAGGCGGCCUUCUGGACUGACACUGACACUGAGGUGCGAAAGCGCGGGUAGCAAACAGGAUUAGAUACCCCUGUAGUC
rnacentral:rRNA from 1 species